rnacentral:lncRNA from 1 species
AGAAAGAACAAGAGGGGACACUGGAGAGCCUCUUGGUGCUGGCUAUACACAGAGAUAGAAGGGAAGCCCGCCCAGUUGUUUUGUGGAUACAGGGACCCAAUGCUCUGUGCUCCUAUGCCCCCCUGUGGGCCAAUAUCCAAAGACCUUGAGUGCAAGGAGCUACUGACAACGAACAAUACUUAUGGACUGCCCGAAGAACAGUGGACCUUGGCGUGGGCCGGGUAACCCACUAGUUCAUAGUCAUCCCUGACUGCCCCCAUCCCUUGCUCAUGAGAAAAUUGCUCUCCAAAUUGGCUUGCGUGGGCUGAAAUGGCUGGAUGAGGCCAUGUGUAUACAUAUCUAUAGACUGUGUAUGUGGAGCUUAAGACCUGUCUCAGUACACCAGUAACUGAUGCUGGGAGUUGAAUGGCUUAGUGCUUUUCUGCCUGAAACACACCGUUCCUGCCAGCCGGGCACUAACAAUUAUCACCCAAUCCAGGACUUAAACUGUGAUAGAGUGGCUGAUAGAGUGUCCAAAGAUGGGACCACUGGUCAGCUGCCAUGGACUAGAUUCUCCACCGGUUGGGGACAAUCUGGUCACCUUGCUGCCCAAUCCGGACCUGGAGCCACCACAGCACGAGUGUCAAACACUGACAGAAGCACAUGGGUGGAGGAAAGACCUCUGCGACUGGCUGAUUGACCCCUGCUGAAAGCCGAGGACCUUGUCCACAGAUGGGAACAGUUCUCUUCAUGAAUGAAGGUCAGAGACAAGUGGGUGCUGCCAUGGUGGACAACACAAUGUCAUCUAGAAUGGCUGAACCUCUACCCCCCCAGCACAUCAGCGCCACAGAUGCCUUUGCCAUCUCUUGGAUGCCCGGAUGAAGCCAACAACUGUGAGUACUAUUCAUUGCCCAGGAAAACAGGAGGGAAGAGAUUCAGUGACAUGGGGCAGUGACAAAACAGAUAAAGUGGCUCGGGAAAUGGCUAUACAGGAGCCUAUCCUGGUUACAGGCCUGCAAGAGACAGCCACUGAGAACUAGGAUUAGACUAAGGGAUGGCCUCACUUAGAAAAGGCCCAAAUUGCUUAAAAGAUAAAGGACAAUGGCACACUUGAGGGGAAGCUAUACUCCCCAGAGAACAAAGAAAAGACUCACUUUGCCAAAUAAAAAAAUAGACUCAUUUAAGAGAUAAGAAGUUUGUCCAAAUAGUUAAAAUAUAUAUAAUAGACUUUAAGAUUUUAGCCAAGAGAGACAAUAAAAAAGUAUAAAUUACGUCAAUAAAUAAGUGCUUAACAAACAAACAGGACAAAGAGACCUAGAGAGUUUAACGAAAAGUCGAAGUAAACUUCACUGAGAUAAAACCAGAAAAAUAUAAUCUCCUAGUGCUUGUAGAUACUUUUUCAGAAAUAGACAGAAGCUUUCCUCACCAAACGAGAGACGGCCUCUGCAAUCAUCAAGAAGAUACUGAAAGAAAUCUUCCCCAGGUCUGGAAUGCCCAAGGUAAUCUGGUCAGACAACGGUCCUACUUUCGUUGCCAAGGUAAGCCAGGGUGUGGCCAAAUAUUUAGAGGUCGAUUGGAAAUUACAUUAUAUUUACAGACCUCAAAGUUCAAGACAGGUAGAGUAAAUAAACAGAACUCUAAAAGAGACCCUAAACAAAUUGACCAUGGAGACUGGCACAGACUGGGUGACACUCCUUCCCUCUUGCUCUCUUCAGAGCAAGAAAUACCCCUUCCAGAUUCAGCCUUACCCCCUUUGAGAUCUUAUAUGGGGCCUCAGCUCCCCUGACUGUAUUAGAUGAUGUUACUGAACCAACAUGUCAUAGUAAUAAUGAUUUGUGUGCCAGGCUAAAAGACCUACAGGUGAUACAGAAAGAAAUCUGCUCACAGCUGACAGCAGCCUAUGCCCCGGAGACCCCUGAGACAUCCCAUCAGUUCCAGGUCGGAAGCAGCUACACUGAGCCCAGACACUCGAUCCUCGCUGGAAAGGACCAUACCUGGUGCUGCUGACCACCCUGACAGCCGUCAAUUCUCAGCCCUCACCAGCCGUGUACUAGCUGUUAGGGCUGAGAGCUGGGACCUAGAGAGAAAUUCAGUCAUGUUUGUCCUGGGUUCCAUCGAGAUAGGUGUGGGGAUAGGCUUGAUUUCUAUUACAAAUAAUGUAACAUUACAUAUGUUAGUACUCCUAACACUUCUUGGGACUGUGCCUCAGGGAUCACUACCUGUAUAAGUUUAAAAGUUCUAAAAGACAGUAAUGACCUUGGUGUAUAGGUUUAGAUAGUGUCCAGAUAGAAUCCUGAUGCCAAAGACUUUUUAGCUGACCUCCAAGAAUACCUAACCUCCCUCUCAGAGGUAGUCCUUCAAAAUAAGAAAAGAUUAGACCUGAUAUUCCUUAAAGAAGGAGUCUGUGUGCUAUACUGAAAGAAAAAUGUUGCUUCUAUACAGACCAUUCAGGAAUAAUUAAAGACUCCAUAAAUAAACUUAAAAAAAGGUUAGACAAAAGACAGACAGGAAAACACAUCAGAGAUGGUUCGAGAGCUAGUUUAGUAGAUCUCCCUGGAUGACUACCCUACACUCUGCUACAGCUGGGCCAUUAUUAAUAAUUUUCUUGGUUUUAGUUUUUGGCUCCUGCGUGACAAACAGGUUAAUUGCUUUUGUUAAAAAUUGAGUGGGUGCUGUGCGGUUGAUGGUUGUGAGACAACAGUACCAGUCAGUUAGGACAACUGGUGAGACCAAAUAAGACUUGAUAUCAAAAUUCUAAGAUUAGAAUUAUUUAAUAGGAGAAGACGGGAAUGAAAAGAAAAUUAUACGAAUUCUAGGUUUAUAAAUAUAAAAAUUAAAAAAAUAAACCCCAAAAGGCCACAGAUCCAGGGCUAAGCCCUGCAGCCAAGACUAGCAGGCCAUAAAGAUAAAGAAGCACAGGAAACACUGUUCAGGCAGGACUGACAAGCCAUAAAGAAAAGGAAUGCAGGAACCAGCCUGAGUUAAUGGGACUGAUUCAUGGGACGUCUGGCAGGAAGACAUCUCCCCCCAGCUCACUCAGGGCCAUCCUCCAGACCCUGAUAAGCCCCUGACUUCUAACACGUACUCUUUCUGCUUUGUUCUCACUGCUAUGUUUGAAUGAGCCAAUUGUAUGUAACCACGCCAAAACCCCCUAGCCUUCUCUAUAUAACCCUCUGACUUUUGAGUUUCGGGGCCAACACCUCUGUCUCCUGCGUGGGAUACGUGUCGGCCCGGAGAUCUCUGUAAUAGGUCUCCGUAAUAAACCUCGCCUUUGCUUAUUACAUCCAAAAUGGUCUCUCUGUGUCUGGGGUCCGCGAUUUCCCAAGACUUGAGUAAGGGUCUCUCUGCGUGGGAUCUUUCA